AGAGGCCAGGGGCUGGCGGCUGCGGGGAGGAAAGCGGGGCGGCGGGCAGGUGCCUCUGGUUCCCUCUGCCAUGAGCCGCUGUAUGGAAGGGCAGGGGGCAGGGAUUGACUCGCCAUAAAGCAAAAUCCAGCCACUUUGGGAACCCGAAAGGAGACAUCUGCGUCUCACCUUACACUGCGGCGGCGGCCGUUUUGCAGGGAAGUCUCACAUCCCUCCUCAGGAAAAGCUGUGGAGUUUCCCUUUGAGGAUCCAAGUUUGUCAGUUCACCUCUCCACAGGAAAUCACUGGGAUAAGAAGAGCAGGUGUGUUUGCAGGCCAAGAUUGAGAUGGUUUAGAAGAAUUUUCACAAUUUCAACAUGUCCUCCUCCAGCAGCAAAAUGAAGAGGAGAGCUAAGUUGUCCAUUCAGUAGAUUUGGAUUACAUUUCCCUUUCUCCAGCAACAUUCGAGUGGCUUCAACUUU